rnacentral:lncRNA from 1 species
ACUUCUCAACUUUGGCACAUAAAUAUUAAUAAUAAAUACAUGCCCACCAUCUUUGAAAAAAUUGGAAUUGUACCUCUCCCUUAAACUUGUACUUUUAACAAGUCUCCAAAUGAUAUUGAUGUUCUCAUCAAACUCCAUAAAUUUUUCUUUCUAGCCGCACAUGUGAUUGUGUGUUCCACUAUCCAAGUACCACGAACUAUGAUUGUCAUUUUCUCCAUCUUUACAUGCUAGCAAUAGACUUGUUUCCUCCUUAUCUUGUUU